rnacentral:rRNA from 1 species
AUGACGGCGAAAGGACGAGGUCCUCCUACCUUGACGACGAGGAUGGGGACGGCUGAAGAUCAGAUCUUUGAACAAGCUGCCACGAUGGCCGAAUUGGAGGCCACUCUUCACUUGGUUCUCUCGGGUCUCACUACUAUGGCAGAGGUGGCCAAGCACGCCAGUGCUACAGCAGCACAGACGGCCUCGGCGUGUCAAGAACUUCGCAUGACCGCAGAUCGCUUGCUCAAGUCGCAGGACAGUAUGGUGUGGGUGGUCAAUAACAUCGAUGCUCGAGUGGAGGGUAUCGGCGCUCGCUUGACGGCACUGGAGAGCCUGUCGCCGAGUGCAACUCCCAAGCACCACGGCCCCGAUGGGAACCGCGAAGAAGCCGAACACUAG